CCGCCGCGCCGGAACUUCUUCCCAGCCGCGGCAGCCUCCUUAGCUCUGGCAGCCGGACGAUCGAGGAGCAGUUCUUCUCUGCCAGGGUUCGGCCCGCGAUGGCCUCUUCCGUCGGCGAGGCCCGUCUCUCGACCUUAGAGGAACGUGUUGGAGUUGGCUUUUCUGUAUUCAGUUUGUGAGUGCAUCGGUGUGUUGGUUGCUUCUCCCUUCAAGGCUGUGUUCGGCUGGUGCUGGGCGCCUCUGCUGGCGGGGCGCACAGAAGCUGUUCGAUGAAUUAUCGGUCGUGCGUAUGCCUGUUUUCUUAAUCUGCAGAGCUCUUGGAAUUCGUUCUAACGUUGGAUUUUGUUGAGGCCAGCUCCCGGGAAUGAGUUCUAGAGCUCAAAAAUGUGAUUUUUUGCUGGUUAAUUGCUUCUCUCACAGGAAAUGAGGGCAUCCUAACAGUGGAUAUUCGUGUGGACUUCGGAAUUGGGUCAUCAUACGCAUGCUUAUUUGUCGUUUUGCAAAAUUGAACAGAAGCGAAAGGUCUGCUCUAGUGGGUUGUUAAUCUUUGAAGUGGCUAAUUCCAAGGGAGUGACACUUGAUGUGGCAAUUAGAUGCAGUUAUUCAAUGCAUGAAGUUGAUAUGAAGCAUGCAAAAACGAAUGAGCUCAUAAAUGAACAUACAAAGAUAGAGGAUUACCUGCAUGUAAACCAUGGGGGAGAACUGCA